rnacentral:tRNA from 3 species
GGGCCCGUAGCUCAGUUGGGAGAGCGCUGCGUUCGCAACGCAGAGGUCAAGAGUUCGAUCCUCUCCGGGUCCACCA